rnacentral:rRNA from 1 species
CAGAACGAACGCUGGCGGCGUGCUUAACACAUGCAAGUCGAACGCGAAAGGGACUUCGGUCCUGAGUAAAGUGGCGCACGGGUGAGUAACGCGUAGAUAACCUGUCUUCAUGUCUGGAAUAAUACGCCGAAAGGGGUACUAAUACCGGAUAUUCUUGCUUUUCAUAAGUUAUGCAAGCAAAGGUGGCCUCUGCAUAUGCUACUGCAUGAAGAGGGGUCUGCGUACCAUUAGCUAGUAGGUGGGGUAAUGGCCUACCUAGGCGACGAUGGUUAGCGGGUCUGAGAGGAUGAUCCGCCACACUGGCACUGGAACACGGGCCAGACUCCUACGGGAGGCAGCAGUGAGGAAUAUUGCGCAAUGGGGGAAACCCUGACGCAGCGACGCCGCGUGAAGUGAGGAAGGCCUUCGGGUCGUAAAGCUCUGUCAAGAGGAAAGAAGUGUACAAUGGCUAAUACCUGUUGUAUUUGACGGUACCUCUAAAGGAAGCACCGGCUAACUCCGUGCCAGCCGCCGC